UGAAUACGAGAUGCUACGGCGUCGAAGCAGUGUAUGUCAGACUUCCAAGAAAAGCUCGCAAUGUCAUAAAUAAAGAAUGCCUGUACCAUAACCGACACAGGUGGGUAGGUAGAGUAUACUAAGGGGCGCGAGAUAACUCUCUCUAAGGAACUCGGCAAAAUAACUCCGUAACUUCGGGAGAAGGAGUGCCUUCUAUUAGAAGGUUGCAAUAACAAGAUCCAAGCAACUGUUUAUCAAAAACACAGGUCUCCGCUAAGUCGUAAGACGAUGUAUGGGGGCUGACGCCUGCCCAGUGCCAGAAGGUUAAAGAAGUUGGUUAGCUUUGGCGAAGCUGAUGACUGAAGCCCUGGUGAACGGCGGCCGUAACGAUAACGGUCCUAAGGUAGCGAAAUUCCUUGUCGGGUAAGUUCCGACCCGCACGAAAGGCGUAAUGAUUUGGAUACUGUCUCGGAGAGGGACUCGGUGAAAUAGACUUGUCUGUGAAGAUGCGGACUACCUGCACCAGGACAGAAAGACCCUAUGAAGCUUUACUGUAACUUGAAAUUGAAAUUGGACUUUAUUUGCGCAGCAUAGGUGGAAGGCGUUGAGAUUACUCUUGCGGGAGUACUGGAGCCAUCAGUGAGAUACCACUCCUAUAAUGUUAGAUUUCUAACUUUGGAUCAUGAUCUGGUCAAAGAACAGUUUCAGGCGGGCAGUUUGACUGGGGCGGUCGCCUCCCAAAUGGUAACGGAGGCGUACAAAGGUUUCCUCUGAACGGGUAGAAAUCGUAUCUAGAGUGUAAAGGCAUAAGGAAGCUUGACUGUGAGACCUACAAGUCGAGCAGGGACGAAAGUCGGUCUUAGUGAUCUGACGGUGCUGAGUGGAAAGGCCGUCACUCAACGGAUAAAAGUUACUCUAGGAUAACAGGCUGAUCUCCCCCAAGAGUUCACAUCGACGGGGAGGUUUGGCACCUCGAUGUCGGCUCAUCGCAUCCUGGGGCGGUAGUACGUCCCAAGGGUUGGGCUGUUCGCCCAUGAAAGCGGUACGCGAGCUGGGUUCAGAACGUCGUGAGACAGUUCGGUCCAUAUCCGGUGUAGGCGUUAGAAUAUUGAGAGGAGCCUUCUUUAGUACGAGAGGACCGAGAAGGACAUACCUCUGGUGUACCAGUUAUCGUGCCAACGGUAAACGCUGGGUAGCUAUGUAUGGAGAGGAUAACCGCUGAAAGCAUCUAAGUGGGAAGCCCACCUCAAGAUGAGUAUUCUCAUCAC
rnacentral:rRNA from 1 species